GAUGAACGCUGGCGGCGUGCCUAAUACAUGCAAGUCGAGCGAACGGACGAGAAGCUUGCUUCUCUGAUGUUAGCGGCGGACGGGUGAGUAACACGUGGAUAACCUACCUAUAAGACUGGGAUAACUUCGGGAAACCGGAGCUAAUACCGGAUAAUAUUUUGAACCGCAUGGUUCAAAAGUGAAAGACGGUCUUUCUGUCACUUAUAGAUUGAUACGCGCUGCAUUAGCUAGUUGGUAAGGUAACGGCUUACCAAAGCAACGAUGCAUAGCCGACCUGAGAGGGUGAUCGGCCACACUGGAACUGAGACACGGUCCAGACUCCUACAGGAGGCAGCAGUAGGGAAUCUUCCGCAAUGGGCGAGAGCCUGACGGAGCAACGCCGCGUGAGUGAUGAAGGUCUUCGGAUCGUAAAACUCUGUUAUUAGGGAAGAACAUAUGUGUAAGUAACUGUGCACAUCUUGACGGUACCUAGUCAGAAAGCCACGGCUAACUACGUG
rnacentral:rRNA from 1 species